GGAGGGUGCAAGCGUUGUUCGGAAUCACUGGGCGUAAAGGGCGUGUAGGCGGUCCGCUAAGUCUGAUGUGAAAGCCCGAGGCUUACCCUCGGAAGUGCAUUGGAGACUGGCGGACUGGAGUCCCGGAGAGGAGGGUGGAAUUCCUGGUGUAGCGGUGAAAUGCGUAGAUAUCAGGAGGAACACCGGUGGCGAAGGCGGCCCUCUGGACGGUGACUGACGCUGAGACGCGAAAGCGUGGGGAGCAAACAGGAUUAGAUACCCUGGUAGUCCACGCUGUAAACGAUGAGCACUAGGUGUCGCGGGUAUUGACCCCUGCGGUGCCGACGCUAACGCAUUAAGUGCUCCGCCUGGGGAGUACGGUCGCAAGAUUAAA
rnacentral:rRNA from 1 species